rnacentral:lncRNA from 1 species
AAGGCGGAGAAGCAAUUCCCCCCUGUUGGGGGUUCCUUUUACACGAUCCAAGAUCAAGAACAGGAGAAACUGCAAGACCUGAAACUGAAAGAAGGGGCGGGAUAUAGAUCCUAAGUAAGACGGAACCCCUGGAUAUAGAACCUACCCCAUACGGAGGUCAGGCUGCUUCACGGAUUGCAGAGCUGUACCACUUAUACUGCCUUAACUUACGAGCUACUUGUGUGGAGCUUCUUGGCUCAUCACCUCUACCUUCUCGAACUAUAGCAGACUUUUCGUUGUGAGAUAACUCGGGUGAGGAGACCGAGCGUAUAAAGACUUUCUUUCUAUAGAUAGGGGCCUAGGCCUAAAAAAAG